rfam:Callithrix jacchus chromosome X, whole genome shotgun sequence
UUUUUAGUAUAAGUGUGUCCCAUGCAAUAUUUAGGAUGUGCUUAUAUUAAAA